rnacentral:rRNA from 1 species
UACGUAGGGUGCGAGCGUUAAUCGGAAUUACUGGGCGUAAAGCGUGCGCAGGCGGUUUUGUAAGCCAGAUGUGAAAUCCCCGGGCUUAACCUGGGAAUGGCAUUUGGGACUGCAAGGCUUGAGUGCGGCAGAGGAGACUGGAAUUCCUGGUGUAGCAGUGAAAUGCGUAGAUAUCAGGAGGAACACCGAUGGCGAAGGCAGGUCUCUGGGGCUGACACUGACGCUCAUGCACGAAAGCGUGGGGAGCAAACAGG